rnacentral:rRNA from 1 species
GUCCACGCCGUAAACGAUGGGAACUAGGUGCUUGGGGGAGCGACCCCCCGAGUGCCGGCGCUAACGCAUUAAGUUCCCCGCCUGGGGAGUACGGCCGCAAGGCUGAAACUCAAAGGAAUUGACGGGGGCCCGCACAAGCGGUGGAGCAUGUGGUUUAAUUCGACGCAACGCGAAGAACCUUACCUAGGCUUGACAUGUACGGGAAAGCCUCUGGAAACAGGGGCCCCUCUUCGGAGCUCGUGCACAGGUGCUGCAUGGCUGUCGU